rnacentral:rRNA from 1 species
UACGGAGGGUGCAAGCGUUAUCCGGAUUCACUGGGGUUAAAGGGUGCGUAGGAGGGCAGGUAAGUCAGUGGUGAAAUCUCCGAGCUUAACUUGGAAACUGCCGUUGAUACUAUCUGUCUUGAAUAUUGUGGAGGUGAGCGGAAUAUGUCAUGUAGCGGUGAAAUGCUUAGAUAUGACAUAGAACACCAAUUGCGAAGGCAGCUCGCUACACAAAUAUUGACUCUGAGGCACGAAAGCGUGGGGAUCAAACAGG